rnacentral:rRNA from 1 species
AGAGUUUGAUCCUGGCUCAGGAUGAACGCUGGCGGCGCGCCUAACACAUGCAAGUCGAACGGCACCCCUCUCCGGAGGGAAGCGAGUGGCGAACGGCUGAGUAACACGUGGAGAACCUGCCCCCUCCCCCGGGAUAGCCGCCCGAAAGGACGGGUAAUACCGGAUACCCCGGGGUGCCGCAUGGCACCCCGGCUAAAGCCCCGACGGGAGGGGAUGGCUCCGCGGCCCAUCAGGUAGACGGCGGGGUGACGGCCCACCGUGCCGACAACGGGUAGCCGGGUUGAGAGACCGACCGGCCAGAUUGGGACUGAGACACGGCCCAGACUCCUACGGGAGGCAGCAGUGGGGAAUAUUGCACAAUGGGGGAAACCCUGAUGCAGCGACGCCGCGUGAAGGAAGAAGUAUCUCGGUAUGUAAACUUCUAUCAGCAGGGAAGAUAGUGACGGUACCUGACUAAGAAGCCCCGGCUAACUACGUGCCAGCAGCCGCGGUAAUACGUAGGGGGCAAGCGUUAUCCGGAUUUACUGGGUGUAAAGGGAGCGUAGACGGUGUGACAAGUCUGAUGUGAAAGGCAUGGGCUCAACCUGUGGACUGCAUUGGAAACUGUCAUACUUGAGUGCCGGAGGGGUAAGCGGAAUUCCUAGUGUAGCGGUGAAAUGCGUAGAUAUUAGGAGGAACACCAGUGGCGAAGGCGGCUUACUGGACGGUAACUGACGUUGAGGCGCGAAAGCUGGGGGAGCGAACAGGAUUAGAUACCCUGGUAGUCCCAGCCGUAAACGAUGGACGCUAGGUGUGGGGGGACGAUCCCCCCGUGCCGCAGCCAACGCAUUAAGCGUCCCGCCUGGGGAGUACGGCCGCAAGGCUAAAACUCAAAGGAAUUGACGGGGGCCCGCACAAGCAGCGGAGCAUGUGGCUUAAUUCGAAGCAACGCGAAGAACCUUACCAGGGCUUGACAUAUGGGUGAAGCGGGGGAGACCCCGUGGCCGAGAGGAGCCCAUACAGGUGGUGCAUGGCUGUCGUCAGCUCGUGUCGUGAGAUGUUGGGUUAAGUCCCGCAACGAGCGCAACCCCCGCCGCGUGUUGCCAUCGGGUGACGCCGGGAACCCACGCGGGACCGCCGCCGUCAAGGCGGAGGAGGGCGGGGACGACGUCAAGUCAUCAUGCCCCUUAUGCCCUGGGCUGCACACGUGCUACAAUGGCCGGUACAGAGGGAUGCCACCCCGCGAGGGGGAGCGGAUCCCGGAAAGCCGGCCCCAGUUCGGAUUGGGGGCUGCAACCCGCCCCCAUGAAGUCGGAGUUGCUAGUAAUCGCGGAUCAGCAUGCCGCGGUGAAUGCGAUCCCGGGCCUUGCACUCACCGCCCGUCA